rnacentral:ncRNA from 1 species
AAGCUUCAGGUCUGUGGUUGAAAAUCGAUGCCAGUCGCAGGCGAAACGAUCCACGUAAGGCACCCAAAAAUGGGGGUCGAUCAUGGUGCGGCCUAGAUGUAAGCCCGGCCAAUCAACAAGGUUGAGAGAAGGAUUCGUGAGGCAACCCCGAGCUAAACUUCCAGCCGGCGGGUGUGGGGGCAAAAACCAGGUCAGCUGAAGCAU